rnacentral:rRNA from 1 species
CGAAACUGCGAAUGGCUCAUUAUAUAAGUUAUCGUUUAUUUGAUAGUACCUUACUACUUGGAUAACCGUGGUAAUUCUAGAGCUAAUACAUGCUAAAAAUCCCGACUUCGGAAGGGAUGUAUUUAUUAGAUUAAAAACCAAUGCCCUUCGGGGCUCCUUGGUGAUUCAUGAUAACUCCUCGAAUCGCAUGGCCUUGUGCCGGCGAUGGUUCAUUCAAAUUUCUUCCCUAUCAACUUUCGAUGUUUGGGUAUUGGCCAAACAUGGUUGCAACGGGUAACGGAGGGUUAGGGCUCGACCCCGGAGAAGGAGCCUGAGAAACGGCUACUACAUCCAAGGAAGGCAGCAGGCGCGCAAAUUACCCAAUCCCGACACGGGGAGGUAGUGACAAUAAAUACUGAUACAGGGCUCUUUUGGGUCUUGUAAUUGGAAUGAGUACAAUUUAAAUCCCUUAACGAGGAACAAUUGGAGGGCAAGUCUGGUGCCAGCAGCCGCGGUAAUUCCAGCUCCAAUAGCGUAUAUUAAAGUUGUUGUGGUUAAAAAGCUCGUAGUUGAACCUUGGGCCUGGCUGGCCGGUCCGCCUCACCGCGUGUACUGGUCCGGCCGGGCCUUUCCCUCUGUGGAACCCCAUGCCCUUCACUGGGUGUGGCGGGGAAACAGGACUUUUACUUUGAAAAAAUUAGAGUGCUCCAGGCAGGCCUAUGCUCGAAUACAUUAGCAUGGAAUAAUAGAAUAGGACGUGUGGUUCUAUUUUGUUGGUUUCUAGGACCGCCGUAAUGAUUAAUAGGGACAGUCGGGGGCAUCAG